GGGGUUGUGGCUCAGUGGUAGAGCACUUGCCUAGCAUACAUGAGGCACUGGGUUCAAUCCCUGGCACCA
rnacentral:tRNA from 1 species